rnacentral:lncRNA from 1 species
GGACUGCCUUCAGCCAGGAGACUGUGGAGCAGAAGAUAGUGCCUGGUGGCCAUUGGUGGCCUUCUACCGAAAAACCAAACCUUCCUCUCUCUCCUCUCCAUAAUGUGUCAAAUGUGUUUCUAGAGGCAUUUCCCUCAGAAAAGUCCCCCUGUGAAGAUCCUGAAUACAUUCCUACACUAAAGCAGCUUCUGCAAGGACCAGCUGAAAACAGCAAUACAGGGGAACACAAGGAGCAGAGCUUACUUGAUGGCCUCCAGGAUCUAGACCGGAUGAUUGGUGUGAAAUAUAAGAGGGCGGAGUCUCUGUCCUGUAAACUUCUCCUUCAGUCACUGCAUUUGCAACGUCCCAGCUCUGUGAGUCUGCUGUAAUGAAAUAUAAAACCACUGCAAUAAUAUAUAAUGAAAACUUUCCUGGAAUGUGCGACAGUUCGACUGAAGACCAGUGCCAGGUUUUCUCCAAAUCUCCCAACGUCCAACCAGCAAUUAGCUGCAAAUGCUAAGAGAAGACUGUCAUAUGACUUCAACAGAAAUAUCAUGACCUAGUCUCGAUAUCUGCUGAAGCUCUUUGACCUAUGCUUCCUUGAAAACAGGAAAUACAGGACA